UAGUCCACGCUGUAAACGAUGAAUACUAGAUGCUUGGGGAAUCGACCCCCUGAGUGUCGUAGCUAACGCAUUAAGUAUUCCGCCUGGGGAGUACGGUCGCAAGACUGAAACUCAAAGGAAUUGACGGGGGCCCGCACAAGCGGUGGAGCAUGUGGUUUAAUUCGAUGAUACGCGAGGAACCUUACCAGGGCUUAAAUGUAAGUUGCAUGAUCCAGAGAUGGGUCUUUCUUCGGACCACUUACAAGGUGCUGCAUGGUUGUCGUCAGCUCGUGCCGUGAGGUGUCAGGUUAAGUCCUAUAACGAGCGCAACCCCUGUUGUUAGUUGCCAGCAUGUAAAGAUGGGAACUCUAACAAGACUGCCGGUGCAAACCGCGAGGAAGGUGGGGAUGACGUCAAAUCAUCACGGCCCUUACGUCCUGGGCUACACACGUGCUACAAUGGUAGGGACAGAGAGCAGCCACACCGCGAGGUGGAGCGAAUCUAUAAACCCUAUCUCAGUUCGG
rnacentral:rRNA from 1 species